UACGGAAGGUCCGGGCGUUAUCCGGAUUUAUUGGGUUUAAAGGGAGCGCAGGCCGAAGAUUAAGCGUGACGUGAAAUGCCGCGGCUCAACCGUGGGAGUGCGUCGCGAACUGGUUUUCUUGAGUGUGCACGAGGAAGGCGGAAUUCGUGGUGUAGCGGUGAAAUGCUUAGAUAUCACGAAGAACUCCGAUUGCGAAGGCAGCCUUCCGGGGCAUUUCUGACGCUAAAGCUCGAAGGUGCGGGUAUCGAAC
rnacentral:rRNA from 1 species